GUCCUGCAGAUGAAGAAUAUCUUCAAAUUCCUUGUUGCAGGAGCCCACCUAAGUGGCACCAACCUUGACUUUCAGAUGCACUUGUAUACCUAUACAAGGAAAAAUGAAGGCAUCUAUGUCAUAAAUCUGAAGAAGACCUGGCAGAGGCUGUUGCUCACAGCUUGGGCUAUGGUUGCCAUUGAGAACCCUGCUGAUGUCAGGGCCAUCUCCCCCAGAAACACUAGCAGGAAAACUCUGCUUAAAUUUGUGACUGUUGUUGGAGCCACUCCCAUUGCCCGCUGCUUCACGCCUGGAAUCUUCACUAACAGUUCAAAGCAGCCUUCAGGGAGCCACGGAUUCUAGUGGUGACUGGUCCCAGGGUUGAUCACCAGCCCCUCACAGAGUCUUAUGUCAGCCUGCCCACCAUUGCUCUAUGUGACACACACUCGCUUCUGCACUACAUGGACAUUGCCACCCCAGGCAACAAUAACAAGGGAGUUCACCCAGUGGAUCUGACAUAGUGGGUCCUGGCCCAGGGAAAUACUGCACGUGGGUGGCACUAUCUCUGUGGGCAGCUUGGAAGAUUAUUCCUGAUCUUUACUCUUACAGAGAUCCAGAGAAGGAGGAGCAGGCUGCUGCAGAGAAGGCUGUGACCAAGGAGGAAUUUCAGCGUGAAUGACUAUAUCAGCUUCUAAGUUCACUGCAGCUCAGCCACAGGUGGCAGACUGGUGUGAGGGUGUGAGGGUGCCCUUUGUACCUUUCACACUGAAGACUGGAAUGCCUGGCCAGCCAUUGAGGACUAGUCAGCAGUUCCCACAGAACAGGCCACCAAGUGAAUUGGAGCCACCACGGAAUGGUCC
rnacentral:lncRNA from 1 species